rnacentral:rRNA from 1 species
GGGACACGUGGUAUCCUGUCUGAAUAUGGGGGGACCAUCCUCCAAGGCUAAAUACUCCUGACUGACCGAUAGUGAACCAGUACCGUGAGGGAAAGGCGAAAAGAACCCCGGCGAGGGGAGUGAAAAAGAACCUGAAACCGUGUACGUACAAGCAGUGGGAGCACGCUUAGGCGUGUGACUGCGUACCUUUUGUAUAAUGGGUCAGCGACUUAUAUUCUGUAGCAAGGUUAACCGAAUAGGGGAGCCGAAGGGAAACCGAGUCUUAACUGGGCGUUAAGUUGCAGGGUAUAGACCCGAAACCCGGUGAUCUAGCCAUGGGCAGGUUGAAGGUUGGGUAACACUAACUGGAGGACCGAACCGACUAAUGUUGAAAAAUUAGCGGAUGACUUGUGGCUGGGGGUGAAAGGCCAAUCAAACCGGGAGAUAGCUGGUUCUCCCCGAAAGCUAUUUAGGUAGCGCCUCGUGAAUUCAUCUCCGGGGGUAGAGCACUGUUUCGGCAAGGGGGUCAUCCCGACUUACCAACCCGAUGCAAACUGCGAAUACCGGAGAAUGUUAUCACGGGAGACACACGGCGGGUGCUAACGUCCGUCGUGAAGAGGGAAACAACCCAGACCGCCAGCUAAGGUCCCAAAGUCAUGGUUAAGUGGGAAACGAUGUGGGAAGGCCCAGACAGCCAGGAUGUUGGCUUAGAAGCAGCCAUCAUUUAAAGAAAGCGUAAUAGCUCACUGGUCGAGUCGGCCUGCGCGGAAGAUGUAACGGGGCUAAACCAUGCACCGAAGCUGCGGCAGCGACGCUUAUGCGUUGUUGGGUAGGGGAGCGUUCUGUAAGCCUGUGAAGGUGUGCUGUGAGGCAUGCUGGAGGUAUCAGAAGUGCGAAUGCUGACAUAAGUAACGAUAAAGCGGGUGAAAAGCCCGCUCGCCGGAAGACCAAGGGUUCCUGUCCAACGUUAAUCGGGGCAGGGUGAGUCGACCCCUAAGGCGAGGCCGAAAGGCGUAGUCGAUGGGAAACAGGUUAAUAUUCCUGUACUUGGUG